ACAAACUUGAAUUCACUUACCCGAAUUCACUGUCCACCGAAUCGGCAAUCCUUAGUCCCAAUGGAAAGAAGAGGGAACUGUCAGUCAUGCUGUUCAGCACCAACAAAAGUGACGACUCUGCAUGAAUUGUUCAACCAAACAUCCAUUUCAAACUCAUGGUAUUAAACAAAGAUGGCGAACUGUCCACCUGAGGGCAAAUCCCAGGAUUACCCAGUUCACGUCCAUGGUAACUGUAGUAAUGUUCAAACUGGAUCAAAUAACAACUUCAUUGUGGUCAGUUCACAGAUUGCGGAGG